GUGGAUAUGUAUUUCUCCCUAGCUUUGCAAUAGAACUCUAGAGCUGGAGAAGUACUGGUUGGAAGGUACCUGUGGAGGGCGUUUAGCCCUACCUUCAGCUUGUAUUGUUCCCAACACCAGGUCAGGCAUGACUUUGUCUAACCCAACACCUCCAAGUAUGACGGUUUCAUGAACAACAUUGGCAGCCUGUUCUUAUGCUGCAUUACCUCUGUAGUAAGUGUUCCCUUAUGUUCAACCUAAACUUUCAGAGCUUAAACAGAGUUCAAGUCUAUUCCAACAGAGCAAUAAUAAAACCCCCAUGUGUUCAAAGUAUAGUACCUUGGAGCUCCAAAGUAUCCACAGCCAUAUUUAUCACAGCCUCUUAUCUCAUUUGUAGGAUUCCCAGCACAUACUACAGCCCAGUGAGCAUCUUGUUGUGGGAAUGGUGGUGAAAUAUCUAUGAAAUACAGAAACAGGAAAUGAAGGUAGUGUUGGUUUUUUUUAAUGUAUUUCAUAUUUGCAACUAUUACAUUUUCAUUUUAGUUAGGAAGAAACAUGCUGGAAUUACAUCUUGCAUGUUCAGUUGAUGUUUGAUUCUCCAUAAAAUUUGUCACCCCUUUGGAAACAUAAGUGGAACAAGUGCCUCAAACUACAUCUUAAUGCUUUGUAAUUACAGUGAGCUGAUAUAAAGAACACGCUUCAAAGAGGAAAAAAAACACAAAACAGGAUUAUCACAGUUAUAAACCAGAGUGUAAACUGAGGGGUAGGAGAGGAUUUGGAUUUUUCUUAUUCUGUGCCUACACUAAUGGAAUCAAAGUCCUUAAGUCCUAAACCAUCACCAGAAUCUUUAGGAUGAUUGUUUUCAAGUGCAAAUUUAAAGUUUGAUCUAGUUAAGAUGUAAUAUUGGAAACAUUGCUGGUAGUUAGAAGGAUCAAAAGAGACAUCUGACUCUGUUGCUGGAACUUGAUGCUGCUGUGCCAUGGGAGGGCAGUGAGGGGUGAGAAAUAAAGCUCAGUAAGCUAAUACAUGUUCCUUCCUUUCUGUGGUCCUGUUAUGCUAUAAUGCAUGUCUUCUCUCUUUUGGAGGUUGCUCUUUAGGAGACCCUAUGACAGAGGAGACUCCUAUUGUUUAAUAUUAUUGUUAUUUGCAAUUAAACAUAUUUUCAUUCAUGAUAAAACUCAAAUGUUUGUUGCAUGUUUUUUUUACCAGGUAUAGGUCUGAGGAGAUGAGUAGGAUCAGACUGGUCGCAGUUCUCGACGUGAAUGUGAGACACAAUGCCAGGAAACACUUUUUGCAUUGGCAGCAUUCUUCCAAGUUGUUGCCCUUUCUGGAUUUGGCCGUGGUAUCUGAUGGGAUGAAUGCAGACCAGUUUUACACAGUAACCUGGAAAAGAUGGGAGAGGAAGGUCAGGAAACACCAGCUGCAUCUGUUGAGGCAGAGUGCAAGAAAUCUUCCUCACUGGGCUGUUACUGGGGGCUACAGUGGUGAAGCUGAAAUGGAGUCAAGGUACCAACAAUCUUGCGAGUAUUCACAUCCCUAUAGAAAAUAGGAAAAAGGAAAAGAGGAAGUUGGAAAACAGAGGCAGGAAAAUAUCCACUCAUCAAAACUGAGUAUUCGGAUGCUUUGUUUUUACUGUUUCCUUUGUUUGACUUGCGGUCAUUUUUCUGCUAUGUGUUUUUCAGCUCCCUUCUUCUGUUCUCUCUAAGAAAAAGGCUGUAUCCUGCUGGAGCUUUUGGUAUUUCUGAGCAGCAGUGUAGUUGUGCUUCAGUAUAAGAACUAGAGAGACUAAAUCAGCAAUCUGCUUGACUUCAAGAGGCACAGAAAUAUCUUACUCAGGUAAAUAAGAUUGCUAGCGCCUGCCUUCUGACCUGUGUGCUGUUAUUACUUACCUGACCCAGAGAUUUGGACUCCAUCAUCAAUGGCAUUUCCGUUAUGAAAGAAUCGAAUGGGUCCGGAGAGCUGGCCGCUGAAGGGAGCGUACACUAUUGAUCCAUCAGUGCAGAUGACAUCCACGCCCUUGUGCUUUUCUCCUUUACCCUGUCUGAAGACAUAAUUAAGUAAUUAUGCAAUCUGUCAGGCCUAAUAGAUAGAUCACGUAGCACUACAUACGAAGUUUCUCUUAAAACGUAAGGUUUUACAUCUGCAGUGAAAUUGGGAGAAGCUAGUGGGGAGAAGCUAGUUUCAGUCGUAUUUUUAUUGCAACGUGUUUGUAUUAGUAUGACCCACUUUAAAUGGGGGCAGAAUUUCAAACUUUAAUGAAUGUUUUUAAUUCUCCCAAAUUCAUGGGACGCCAGACCAUCACACUACCCCUGUUCCACCCCAGAAUGCAUCUGUGCCAUGUCAAAUAGAAAUGUAUAUUUGGCAUUUUCUCACUUAGCAAUUCUUAAGUUCUGUAGUAGAGAUCAUAGAAUCAGAGAAUAUCCUGAGCUGGAAGGGCCUGGGAGCAUUUGUUAGGACAGCAUAACCUUCUCUGUUAUAAGGUGCCUAUGCAGAGGCAGUGGUGUCUGCAGAUCUUUAGCUUGUGUAAAGUAAUUUGUAGAGCUUCCUAUAAGCUCUAUUGAUGAUUGCUAGUUAAGUGUCUUGUCUAUAAGAACCAAGGAUGAAUUACACUAGUCCUUGGAAAGCUUUCCAUUGCGGUUCCUACUCAGCCUGCUAGUUUAUGUAGUGGUCUCUCUUCUUUACUCUUUACCCAUACAUCUGUUAGUCAAAAUCACACUGAUAUUUUUUUCAGUGAGAUUGCUUAGUAAUGUCUCAAAGUAAGAGAAAACAUAGAGAAGCUCUCUUUCAUUUAAAGUACAGCAGAAAUAUCAAUGAAUGAUAUAUGAAAGGCACGACUGGUGAUUUUGUGUAUUGCUCUUAAAUCUUGGAGAAAGAAGGCAAAAUAUUAGCAAGCCUUUCGUUUUUAAAAGUUGGUUAUAUCUCAUUCUUGCUUUGUGAACAUUUGGUGUAGGAAAGCCAUGAUGCAUUCCUGCUCCAGGCCCCUGCUGCCUGCCCUGUUACCUGCUGGCUCCGUAAUUGCCGCAGCCGUAUCUGUCACAGCCCCGGAUUCUAUUGAAAGGAUUCCCGCUGCAUAUCUGCGCCCAGUGCCUGCCCUGCUGCUGCGGAGGGUGCACCUCCCACUGCCUGGCAAAAGCUGCCCAUACAGAAGAGGAAAACAGGAAAAUAGAAAUAGGAAUGCGUUAGUGUUGUGCAACUGAAAGUGGUAAGCUGCAAAAUGCAAUGUUUAAGAUGGAAGACACGUGUCGUGACUUCUGCCUCGCAGGAGAGGUUUCCUCCUUAAUUACAGGUAAAUGAUGGUUUGUGGGCCUUCAUAAUGCCCCAAACUGCAGCUGUAAGAACACUGAACAACCUGUUAUGCAUAUUUGACUGCUUUCCUGGAAGCCUUGUGCCUUGAUAAAGGUACAUACAGUAAAAGGAAGUAAAGCUGUAGACACAGAUUUCUAAUAUUAGUUUCUGCUAUAAUACCAACUACUUUUUCCAUGAAACCAAAGCACUUCAGUAUAGCUCUAUCUGUAAAAACACACCCUUUUCUAUUUUUUGUAAUAGUUAUAUACUAGCGCACGUUACUAUAGUUCAUCAUAAAAACACAUUUAAAGAGCUUAGCUUUAUGUUGAAAUUAAUUACUGAAAUUAAUUAGUGUCUGUCUGUACACUCGAGACAAACCACACCAAAGCAGUCCCAACUCACCAGUGGACACCAGGCUGAGCAGGGCGAUCAGGCUGAGGGCUGGCAUCUCGUGCCUUUGAGCGAGUCAAAGACGUCCUACAGUAGCUCUCUGUAGUAUUUAUGUGUUUUCCAAAGUGUGGAUCUGUUGUGUUGGCCAAUCAGUCCUGAGCCAAGUGUUACAGCGCCGAGCAGACAGCCUUGCCAUAUUAGGCACUAAAGAUAUCUGUACAUUAUAACGGUUUUUUAGAGCUGGUUGGGAAAGACAGGUAAAGUAACGGGUGUCUUAGCUCACAUUAACAGAUGGAAAUGAACAAUCCCACUUUUCAGGAAGCUUUGGUUGAACCAUUUCUUAACGCUUUUUCUUCUCCUUCCCCAAGCAAGGACACGCUUAGGCCAAAAAUGAUAGGAAUCAAGAAUUGGAUCCAGAGGAUUCAGCUGGUGGGAAAAGAUGGGCAAAACUCCAUGUGUUGUCUGUUGUGGGCAUCACCAGUUGUCUUUCUCUGCUGGUUCCAGUACCUCCUCCCCAGCUGUAUGUGCCCAUUAUGGCUUUCUAACAGCACAGCAGAGAACACAUGAAAGUGUAAUGUUUGUUUUAGUACACAUAUUUACUUAGGCUAAGAAGUGCAGAUGCUCUUGCAUAGAAAUCUGUUUUUCCUGUUCGUCUGAUAUUUUCACCUAGUCUGGACAUCAAUCCAUGGAGUCUUUUCUCUGGAACCCUGUUUUUUUGACAGUGAAAUUCUUGUUAAAACCUCUUCAGAUUCUGAAAUGGAUGGUUGCAAGCCACAGUUGCAUUGCAUAACUGACAUAGAAAACUAAUUAGAUUUUUUUAACACUAAUGGUUCAUUUAGCAUCUGCUUGACUUCAGCUAUUGAACUGUUAGGCAAGCUGAUUAAUGUCUUUUAACUGUCCCUUCCAUUCAGCUUUUCCAUAUUUCUUAUAGAAGGGCAUUAGAUUUUCUUUACAAAUAUGUUUGAGUUAACACAAAAUUUAAAGAAGUCAUGGAGCUUUCCCAUAAGCUAUCCAGUACUCCAAGAGACAGUGACCUCUGGAAGGCCCGCAUGUUUUGUUCAGAGGAGAAACAGAUGUUACUGAGCACUUCUAGCUGACAAACAGCAUCUGCAUGUUGUGCUUCCCCAAAAAAACUCCAUGCAACAGGCAGCUGGAGACAAAUCCCUGCCUUGUGUUUCCAAGCUUUUUUACAGACAAUAUUAGCCCCUUGGAAUAUCUUGGUCUUCCCUGGCAUUGUUACAAGCGACUUCAGUGAUUUUAUCCCUGCUGCUUUCUCCUCUGUUCUGACAAAAGGAAAUGCUGUUUUUCACACUUGUAGUCACAAAACAAGUAUUUCUAUAAAUAUGUUGUUUGCAUCUUUCCAGGCUUACUCGCCUUCAUUUCUUCAGCUAUUGAAGUGCUCAGAUGGAGAACUGUGCCCUCCCAGCAAAAAAUGACCUGAGUGUCACGAGGCAACUCAUGCUUUUCCAUGACCCACGUCCCUCACUCCCUCUUGGACUUCAGCACACCUCAGGUUAUCAUCUACAUUUGUUGGAUCUUAGAUUGCACGUCUUGGUUAAAUUACUUGGAACUUCCAGAAGUCAUUAGAGCUCUGCACCUGUCUGUGUAACAAUAUUUGUGCAUGCCAACAAACUUCCAUUGCUGCUGCCUGUCACUUAUUUUCAAUCCCCAGACAACUGUUAGAGGACAGCAGAGCCGAGAACCUCCCUUCAGGAGGUGGUGCAAUGCCAGGUGCUGCCCCAAGACCCCACCUUUGCAUUGUUUCCAUCUCAUUUGUGUUACAGAAUUUACUUCACACUGCUUGUAGCUGUGUAUGUUUUUUAAAUUUUUCUUUAUGAGAGAUCUUAACUAUAAUGUAUCUUGCUCUGUUCCUUCUAAACCAUGUCAAAAUGCCAUUUGCUACAAUAACAUGUAUAAUGUGAUUCUGGUAGAGUAUCCUUAAAAAAGAAGAAUACAGUUUUCAAGCUCAUGUUGUGGUGGUUGAGGCUUCUCAGUUCAUUCUCUGUCUUUUCCAGGGAGCUGCAGGCCUGGCCUGUUGGGCAAUAGGACUGUGAACCAAUGCUGGUGGGAUUCCUGCAUUGGGCAACAGAGGCAUUAAUCCAACAGUUGGGAUGUGUGGUUGUGAAAGAACCGAGCCAGGCCCUUAGCACACACCAACAGAAGGAUAUGGAACAACCGCGGAGUUGCACAGAGCUGCAGUUGCACCACUUCCCCUGUGACAGGAUCAGGUUCAAAGGUGGGUGCUCAGUGCUGACGAUGCUCAUAGCUACAAACGUUGGAGAAGGAUGGAGUUUGGUUUUCAGACUGGUUCUUUGGGUUCAUUAGUACCUUGCUAUGUGCCUCCAACAUCAGUCUGAACCAUUUCAUGCUUUACUUGUGAGCACGAUAUUAUGGCUGCUUUGGUUUGAAAGGAGAGAAAUGUCAUUCUUUCCUACAUUCCCCCUUCAGACUAGCUUCAUGAAGGAGCUAGGUCUGGUGUUUGUGCUGGUGGUGAUGAUGUUUAGGUUCCUCACCACGUUUUCCACCAAGUAGCCAAUAGCCCCACCUAGCAGAUAGGAGACUUUGGGUUCCUUUCCUUCUUUGGGAGCAGUUCUGUGUGGCUUUCAGGACAAUGUUCCAGCACUUAGGAGGACUAAUUGAAUUAAGGUUUAAUUGGGUUACUAAUCAACCUUUUCUGCUCAUACAAACUCAUGUUUUAGAAGUACCUUUGCUUAUAACUGCUCAGUGUUAUAACCCAUAUGACUUUUUAAUUGAUUCUAAGAUGGUUAGAGCACACUAGAGGUGAUAAGAGAGCUAUUCUCACUAUGUGCUCUGUAGUAUGGUCAAUUUUUAAAUGGCAUAACUGUCUGCUCAAGCUCAUUCUUCUGUGGUUGUCUGAAGAGAUAUCUGAGACUCAGAGAUUGGAAGCAGACCUGGGCCUUCCACUGGGUGCUUGGCUCUGCCAAGUUGGGGCCUGGUAUGUGUGUAAGGAAGCAGCUCAGAAAUAUUCCUCCUCUUGCAAGCAGAAGGAACAGAUGGUAAGUGAGGCAUGUCAAGUUUCAUUUCGUAGGUAGAAGUCAGGUACGGUUAGUGGUACAUCCAUCUUUCAAAUUUUCUUAUUACCAUUUGUACCUUUAUACAUUUUUUUGGAAGAAAAAGCCACAGAACUGAAAUACUAGUGGGAAAUCACAGCAAAUCCCAUGGGUAGGAGCAUCAUUAAGGGGGCUGGUUUGCCCCAUUAUCUCCUCUACACAUGCUCCAGCUUCCAGUGUCCAAAACCUGAUUGCUUCGUCCACAAACUCUUCCACUGUGGGGCUUUUGACUGCCCCAGAGAAUUGGAUAAGCACGAACCAUAUGUCUUAUUUCUUGGUUAUGCUGUGGGAUGGUAAUUGUAGGUUUGCAGUUCUCUUCCUAGAUUUAUUUUGAAGAACAUUUUGGCCUUGCCCUUCUUGUUGAGCCUGGGAACAAAUUGCUGCUGGGCCUUUGCCUCCCAGCUGAGCUUUGUGCACCAUGCCAUUAAACAAAAUACAUUUUGUUCUCAUCGUUAACAUUGAAAUCAUAACUUAAAAAUUAACUGUAGAAUUAUUUACCCGUGCAAUUGCUGUGGGCUUUCAUGGUGAAAAUCAAUCUGGCAUUUUUGCUCUUAAUCUAUAAUCAGCUUCUGACCACUUGAGUAGGCUGAGCUAAGAGAGGUUUUUGAAAUGAGCUUUGUCUGAACAGUUUUGUUGUAGUAUCGCUGGGAAACCACAGGGCUGUGCUAGCUAACCAGCCACCAGGAUCAUUGCCUCGUGGCACUGAACAUCUGUAUCGUGCUGUGAGUGCAUGGCUUUUGCCCAGCAUGAGCUGAAGAUGCCCUGCGCUGGAGUGCAGCUCCCAUUGAAGCCAACACCUCAAAUUUAUUGUCUCUCUAUUAAUAUGCUUAGCAAAGCCUGAGUCGGGUUUUAGCAGGGAUUAUAAAAGAACAUAGAGGAAAACCUUUCUGCUGCUCACAUCAGAUCUCAUGAGGAGGACUAACUAACUUCUUCCUGAACCCUCCAAAAGUCCCUCGAUGCUCAGACAAGGAAAAGGGCACAGCCUAGAUACAUGGGAUUUUCAGAGCUAGGGGUCCCACCUCUGUCUGCAGCCUCAUGGGACAAAGUUAUAAUACAAAUGGGAUAGAAGGGAUGAGGAUCCCUGCAGACCUGGUGAAGAAGCACUGCGUGGGGGCUGGCAGAGCUCUGCCACUGCAGAAAUGAGGGCCAUGUGGGACGGGCCCCUUGGCAGGGCUUAGGGCAGAAACCAUACCAUUACCAACCACCGUCUAGCCUAAAGUACAGCAGAGUGUUUCAGCUGUCACAUUUCCACUGCCCAUUCAAGGGUAUUUUUAGUAUUGGUAGAUAAAGUUGCUGACUCUACAUCAACUAAUCCUUCCUUGCUGCCAUGAUCCUGAUGAGGGAAAAAGAGCCGUUCUCUUAUAUGUGUUCAGGUGGAAGCCUCUCUCCUUUGUGCUACUAUUUAGAGGUCUGUCUAAAUAGUAUUUCUCUUACAGACAUAUUUCCACUGCACGUGCUUUCGCAUGAGCAGUGAAGGAGCUGCUUCCAUAGGCAGUAUUGGGGCAGAGGCUCUGAACGCUGGUUUCAGCACAAACCUCUUGGCAUUCACAGUGAGGCAUUAACCCGUUAUAACACCAGUGAUGUGGUUACGUGGAUGAGCCAGAACAUGAGUCCAUGGUCCUCUGAGCAAGGAGAUGCGAAUGCUGUGGCCAAAGCUGGCUGCUGAGGUCACCCAAAUUAAUUCUUGCUUUAACUAGAAGGAACGUUCCAUUGAAAUGCUAGCAAUAUGUAUCCAGCAGCAGCUCUUCCAUUUUGGCUGCCUCAGAGCUGAGGAUCUGUGCUGUACCUCGAGCACAUCCACGGUCCUCCUGGUGUACCUGGGGGUGACACUGCUGCUUUGCAAUACUAGAAACACUGCUGGCAUUAUCAGCAACCCACAGCUGAAGGUGUACUUUGGGUAUGAUAACAAAGUUGUGCCAUAAAGAGAGGAUCUGCAAUAAAUCCCACUUGUGCCAUUAAAUCCACGCUCAUUCCCUGCCCCGUAUCUUAUCGCUGGGGCUGCUGAUAGCUUUCCUGUAUGGCUUCUCUUGGAAAGCAGCCUGUUGUGCUGUGCUGUUUCCUUCUGUUGGCUGGUGAGGGUUAAUUAAAUCCUCCCCAGGCUCUGCUGCUUUGAUGCAGUGAUGGCUAGGGAAGUCUCUCUUUUUUUUUUCCUUUUUCUUUUAGGAAACAAUCAAGUGUCUGCAGGCUGCCUGUGUUCUCGGGCAGCUCUGAUAAGAAAAUCCUGCUUGUUUGCAAGGCCCUGCUUGGACACAUGGCUUUGAUUUAGUGGUGAUAACAUGAAAAAGGGGAGAGCUGUGGCUCUGGAAAACCUCUGGUCCCAAAGCCUUUGUGUUUGAGGUGGUUGGUGGGUGCUUUAGGGGGGAAAAAAAAACCAAACCUCUUGUAUUGGACAGCAUCACGCAGGGAGAUCGUGUGCUCUGCCUGCACGACUCUGCUCGGAGCUCCCAGCAGGGGGUGCAGCCGCUUCUCGAGUCUGCACAGCUGAUCCCAGGGGUGUACUCAGCCCUUGCUUCCCUUUAUUUUAAAAGAACAAAAGAAGGGGAGAAGAGAUUUCAGGGGCUUUCUGCUGCCUGAAAACUAGAAUUAUUUAAUGCCCACAUCUCUAGUUAAUUUCAGAGGGAAGUGUAACACUGUUAUAGUUCAUACUGGGAUCUCUUUGAUAUGCAACUGUAUGGAAUGGCUAUCAGUGGGCAGCAGGGCAAGCAGAGGACAGGAGGUUUGUUCUCAGCAUCUGCACAGUGUUUAUAACAAGGGCAGGGCAUUGCUUUCCCUGCGUUAUGAGCUCUCAGUAUCACAGGUAGCCAAGGAGUGCAUUACUGCGCAGAUAUCCUGCUGGGGAAUUGAUAGGUGUCAAGCAGUUGCUUUAACCAGCAAACUCACUUUUAACCUUAAUUUUUACUUAUUAUUAUUAAUUUUUCACACCCAGUUGCUGAUUGAGCAAAAACAAAAAACAACAACAAAAAAAAACCCCACCAACCACAAAAAAAAAGCCAAACCAAAACCAGAAGGUGUUAUUGCUUGUGCAGCAACAGCACUAUGUGUGCUGGCAGCCCCGCAGUGUGCUCACCCAGCACUGCGCUCUCAAAGAGCAACAGAGGAGAUUUUCAUGGGGCCACAGAGCCAGGGCUGAUGCUGGAGGCUGAGCGGUUCAGGGCCGUGUUACUCUCAUAGCAGUGGGCUUUGUGCUGAGCUCACUCACUGGCGAGCAGUGCGAUGCAAAUGCCAGAGCUCCAGCAGGUUCCUGACCCCUUUGCAGUGGUGCAGGAUUUAUUUAUUUUACAGCGCCGGUUAUGAUUGACAGCAAUUGGCAUGGUAAUAAUGAGGACUGUAAAAGUCAUCUGAUGGCCUGCAAAACCUCCUCUGCAAAUAUUCAACAUGCAAACAGUACAUCUCAGAUGGGAAUGGGGAUUUCAUGGUCUUUUUAAGACCUGGAACAUGAACUGAGUGCAGCCUAAUUGGAUGCAGUCUCUAUCUUCUCUUCAUAAUGAGCUACAGAUCUAAAUUAAACUGUGCUCCCUGUGAAAAAUAUUUGCAAACUCUCCUUGCUGCAUGCUGCUUACAAAGAUUAUUGAAGGGUGUUGCUGAGCAGGGUGAAAGCACUGUGCCAAAUUUAUUCCUCUUGCAAAGGAAGAGAGCCAAGCCCUCAACUGUGCCAUCUGUAUGGGAUAGAGCACCCCUUAUUGCCUUGGCUGCUGUUGGGUAUUAACCUAAUUAGUGCCAAAAAGUGAUAUGUUUGCUAUAGGAGCUUCCCUGAGCACCACUAUUCAGACCUAGUGCUUCCACCAACAUCCAAGGCCAUGCCAAGGGUCUCAGCUCUGGGGACAAUGGGACAAUUUGCUCUUCUUCUUGUAGUUGUGUGAUUUUACCUAUGUAUUUUGAGCCAUCUCUAGAUGUCACUAAAGGGCAUACUAAUCUGUUUGAAGACUCUUUUUGUCUAAAAAGAGAAAAGCCCCCCAUUUAAAUGUGACUCUUUGUUCCUACGUGCCGAUGCAAUCCUUGGUCUUGCAUGGAGACUUGGACAGCUCCCACCCACCCUUCUCAGACCCGGCUGCAAGAGGCACAAAUUUGCAGCUCCAUGACACUCCUUUUGUGGCAAAAUGUAAAAAUGAGUCAUUCCAACUUCCUCUUUUCCUUCUGUGUGAAGAGGCUGGGAAAUGGGGUGAACAACGCUCAUCUCUGAAACAGGAAACCAAAGUCUUGCUUCGCCGCUUCUUGUAGCGUGAGUCCCAGCUGGCCCUGUGGGAAGGGCCCGUGGUGUCCCUUCUGCUGACUGCUCCUCCUUGGGGAUCCUCGGCCAUCAAAGAUACCCCAGAAAGCCGUGGCAGAGCAGCACAGGAGUGUGGCUUCUGUAGGAGGAUGGCUUCAGAGCAGACUGGGAUGAAUUGUUGUGAAGGGAAAGACGAUUCCACCCAUUUCUCAAAGCAAACACUGCUUAUCCUUCUUCUUUGCCUCCCAUGGUUCAGAGAAGCCCAUGAUGUGUAAAUGCUUCGGCACGUUCUGAGCUCCCAUGGGUUUUCCAGCAGAGGAAGCAACCAAGAAGAGUACAGUGGCCCCUGAGAAUCCUUCCUGAGACAUUUCUUGUGUUCUUGAGCCAACUCAACAUCUUGCUCAGGAGGAGGGCUGCUGUGGCAGAUGAGAAGAUGGGCUCUUCUGCAGGGAACCAGGGAUGGGAGCUUGCCCUUAGCGAGACAUUAACUUUCAGCAUGCUCCUUGCUGGUAAUUAGUAGGUGAGUAAUUAGUAAGAGUCCGCAGUGGGUAUUCCCCUGAUCACUAAAGGAGCUGAAGCUGUGGUGUGCAGCCUGAGCUGCAUCCCUCUGGGAAGGAAGCCUUGCUCUGCUGUCUCGCCACACUUCCUAACAGAAAGUUCAAAUCCUAGCAUAACUGUAUAUAUUUUCUUCAAAAGUGGUGAAGCAAUGUUUUCCUACUGAAAUACAAUUCCACCCUUCCUUGCAAGCAAGCUUUUUUUUCCUUUUAAUUUUCUUUGAAAAAUAUACUUCUAGCUUCAGCUUUGCCUCUGCUCUGGUCUCAAUCUUUUGCAUUUGCAGUUAAUUGCCUACUUCAAAGAAAAACAGAGAGGUCUUUGAUUUACUAGAUUGGCUAAAUUCAAUAUCUUUCCCAGAAACAGUGGCUCAGUGUUUCCUAACAAUAAGCUCAAAUGUUUGAGCGAUAUAAUUUCCUCACUUCUGACACUCAUCAAAAUCAGUGUAUUGCAUCCAAUUUGGUCUCCUUCAUAUCCCAGUGGCAAGCUUAGCCUCAACUUUAUCCACUUUAAACAAUACUCGGGUUUGCCACACAGUGUCCUAAAGCUGCAAGGUCUCAUUCAUGAUACGAAUAACAUACACAGUUGGACACCUACAUUAAGUAUGUAUGAUGAGAUCACUUCCAGUAAAACCUUGAAAUGCAGUAAUGUGAAAAACAUCUGGUUGUUGUGCAUUUGAUUUAAAGUUGGAAGUCGUGGACAAAGGGACUAUAUAUUUAUUAACGUGUUCUGUGCUUUGCAGAAGUUUCUGUGCAAUUUACUCAUUAGACUUCAAAAGCGGGGAAUUAUACGACCUCUAGAUUGAAAUUAAAUUAUUAGACAUCAAAAGGAGGAAAAUACAUAAUCUCUUGGUGGAAAUUAGUAAUUGCUUGUUUAAUAAUAAUAAUAAUCUGAAUUUAACACAGCAAUUUCGGCCUACAAAACCACCCAUCCGUGUGUGUGCUUGGGUCUGUACGUGUGCCAAAGCCAGGGGAAGGGCUGGAGGCUGGGAGUUGGCCACUCAACCACCACUGAUUCCCUAGCAGGAGAUGCUGCUGGAUGUACCAAGGCAGGCAUGCAGCCAGGGGCUCCCACGGUGCAGUCCUAUGGCCAGUGCCAAGUAUUGCAGUCCGUGUGAGAUGGCUGGGUGGCAUCUGUGCCUGAAGCAAAGAGAAGGUUCCAGCUCUGCCACCGCCCUGCCGUGGCCACAAGCAUUGGGGCAGUUGGGUGAACGUGACCGGCUCGGCAUCGUAUCCGCAUUCAUGGCUCCCCAGCAAAAAUGUACGGUAUGUUUGAGGAGUAUCAGCAGUGAGCUGUGGUAACCAUGGGAAUGCGGCUGUUUAGCAAAUUGUAGAGAGGAAAAUUCAACAGAAACAGCCAAAGGAAUGAAUUAGAGCUACCCCUUGGCAAGGGUGAUAUAGAAAGUGGUGCUAUUUUUUUACUUUAAAAACACGCAAACAGCAAAGCCCCAAACACGUACGUAUGUGAAACUUGUACUUUUUCAUUCAUUACUAGCUGUCUGCUCUGACAUGUGGAAAAUAUUUGCAGGGAUGUUGCCAUGUCUCCCACGUUUUGUUUGUGGUCCCACCUCGCCUUGCUGAGACAGACAUCUCUCAGAAAGCCAAGAGCUCUGCCAAGUGGGCUUCCCUCUGUCACCUCUACAGCCAUCUCCCCUCUCUUUGUGCAAAACCAGCCCCAGGUUCACCUGCUUUGGAGGUAGGGCUGUGCCAGCUCUCCUCUUCCUCCUGGAGCUUUCCUAAUGCUUGUGCUGGAGAGGAACUUGUCAGUGAGAGGCUUCAGGCUGCGUUGCACUGGGAGUCCCCCAGGUAUGUGGCUUGCUGUGUGAAACUGUGUCUGUUUCUGUGUUUUAUCUAAUAGAGCUGAAUCACUGAAGAAUUUGCUGCAUUUAUCCUUGUUUUUAUCAACAGCUAUAUGUUUACGUAUGUACUGUAUGUUGGUCUUCAUCACUGUAACUUCUAUUUGCAGAGAAACGCCAAUUGCAACGCAGUGCUGAUCUGCAGCAGCCACAGCUCCAUUCUUAGCAAUAUGGGCAGCCAACCAAGUGUGAGGGAAGCAGUUUAUUCAGAGGAAGGGUUGCUUUGCUCUCUUCUUGGGCUCCCUUUCUGGGAGGCAGAUGCACAAAUCCCACAGCGUGGGUGUGCAGGGCCAGCUGCCACCUGUGUCCCUGUGCUGGACCCCAUGCACCCACCGGGGACAUGGCUGGGGAACCUGGGCUCUGGGAGUGCAGACAAUGAGAAAUGAGCGGUUACUGGAAAGCAUUCUUCCAACGAAACUGCAUGCAGCAUGACUCAUCUGAGAGCAGACUAGCAAGGCAAGUCACCUCUCAUCUUAAAACACAAAGCACAGCGAGGUUCAGCCCGUGUAUAGCUAUCCUUCUCAAGGAGCCCCAUUACUCUAUCAGCAAGGCAUGCUGUGCUGUGCUGGCUGUGGGUCGCACAACCGUGGCACGCUAAUCCUGGCUGCCAUAAGGCAGCUGCUCAACGUUUGCAUGUGAUUUAUGGUAACACGUUGCAAACGUAUAUGUAUGUGUGUGUAUGUGAAAGAAUAAUACACGAGCACUGUUCUGAAUGGAAUACAAAUCCUAAUUAUUACUAUAGUGGCAGCAAAUUUAUUUCUUGCAUGUCACAAGCCAUAUAUUGUCCAAACUCCUUCAUACUGUACAUGAAUAAUAGUAAUAAAACAACAACAAACACUAUUGAUCUUCAAAACCAACUGCAUCAUUUUUCUAAUAUGAAAAGAUCAGAGAGAGAUUUCUGUACAAUGUUUCUUUGUUCCUAAGGUUACCCCGAGACUAAGAGUACAGAUUACAUUUGGACUAUAUGGAAUCGUUUAUCUUAACGUAAUACCAGUGAAUGUCUCUAAUUAUUUAAGAGCUUGCAGGGUUCAGACAGUAGCUCAGAUUCCCCACAUCAGGCACUUCAUUUGCUUUUUAUUCUGAAAAAUGCAAUAGCCCUUGAAAGGAAGGAAAAUGUUUUUCUGGAUAAAGAGAGGUAUGAGCUAAGACUUAGCAGGAAAUUUUCCUGAUGAGUGUCUUAUGGACUGGAUUUCACCUGCCUUAGCUCAUCCACUCAUUGCUUCGUACACUUUUGACUCUGCUCCCCCACCACGUGCUCUUUAUUUAAUGGCUAGGACAUUUUCUUCCUCAUUUUCUGCUUUUUACAGACCAGGCAGAACAUGAGGCAAUACCACCAGGAACGAAGAUUGGUGCCAGACUUUUCCCAGUGGGCAGACCAAAUGGGAAAGUCCAGUUCUGCUCUAAAAACGUGAGAAAUUCCCUGUGAAGAUGCAUGGGCCUAUGGCAGUGUUUGGACCAGGCAUCCAACUACCAUGAAUGCGUAGGGAUUGAUGCAGCUGUUGAAGAUGUGACUCAAAGUGAGACACUGUGACCUCUGCCUUCUGCCCUGAGCAACACGCUGCUGUUCUCCCAGCACUGUGCUUGGCUUCCCAACACUGUAAUUGUAAAUAUUUUUAGUGUGCUCCUAACCGUGAGAGCCCACAGGGCUUAUAUAAACCCUUGGGUUUACUUCAGAAAUGUGGGCAGUAUAUUGCAAAAUAUACAGCGGGGAAUGUUCUUGCAUUUUCUUGCUGUAAUGUCUUUUUGUUCCUGUGUUUCAUUAACACCAUGUGAAACAAGACACAAUGGCAUAGGCAGCAACGGCUUUGUCACAUGGAGUGCAUCACGUUGCUCUGAUGGAGAGGUGGAGGAGAAAACAGUUCCUGCAGUCUUGCUGGAGAAAUGAUGGUGAGCUGAGCUGAGGAGGGCUGUUCUGAGGUUGGUCUUCAAGUCAGAGCUCUGUCAUGGUUUCAAUGAGCUGAGUUUCAUCCAAAGUCUAUAGGAUAAAAGGAGCAGCCUCCUGGCUAUGCGUGUCCCGUUACAAGAUGGUUUAUUGACAUAAUUGCAGUAUCUUCUUGGCAGGGAGUGAUUUCAUCUGCCUGCUGUAUUUAACAGAAAUUAACUGCUUUCCCCCUUCCUCCCCCCCCUCCUUUUUUUUUCUUAAGGAAGUUUCAGUAUAUCAGAAUAAACUAAAUGAAUUCAGAUUUCAAAGCUUAGCAUCCCAGAAUAACAGUCUGCUGUAAUUUGGCUCAGGAUGCUCCAAUGUUUGCUCUCUUCCUGCAUUACCAAGUGGCCAACAGCCAAGCCCAGCAGAUUACAGCGCUGACAUCGGGCGUCUAUCAGACCUUAAAUCAGUCGAAGUGGGCCAGAAACAACUUGCUUUUAUCCAUUUUAAGGUCUGCAGACUGCUCUUCAAGUGGUUUGCUCUCCAGUGAUGGCACAGACUUUUCCAUGGCUUAUGCAGCAAUGCAUGGAAACGAAUACUCCCCAGAACAAUACGUCAGACCAGGAUUUCUUGGGGUUUUUCUGCUUCAUUGCUGGCUUGCUGAAAACAAGAAGAUAAAUUGCGGGAUAAGGAACAAAAUGAGAACAUGUGAGAGCUAUAGAAGUGCCUUGUGGGAGCUGUUUUCUAUCUCCUUUUUCUUUUUCUUAUAUGGACGAUCUGACUAAGUGACGCUGAAUUACUCCUUGAAAGUUGGAUUGCUGCUCCUUGUGACUUCCUGCCCUAUAAUUUUACUGUAUCGUAUAUCUGCAGCAUGGGCAGGGGGAAAUAGAAAACAGAUGAGGGGAUAUCAGCUCGGCCCCACGGUGCUGUUCAGUAGUUUCGGUGGGUUUAUUUUGUGUCUGUGCCCAUCGGUGUACGCGGGAGAAAUGGAGCAAUGCAGAGACCUUCUGAAACAGAUUUAUCUCAAAGCAUUUAAUGUGGGAAGAUGGUUACAAGCUUACACAAUGAGGUAAGAGAGUUGUUUUGUUUAUCCCGGCCAAGAUGAAACACACAUUUCUUCCAUCUCAGUGACACAUUAAAAGGAAGCAGAGUAUGGUGUGUAAUUGCCUUUUUGGCCAAUGCUCCCCAGGGCCAGGCCAGCGGGGUGCCUUGCAGUGCAUAGGGCUGCUGCACUGCUAAAUGUCCAUGGGGUAGUCAUUCAUUAAUUUGGGCAGACCUAACAAGGCAUCCUGCAAUAACUCUGGGCUUAAUGAGAAAGGAGAGCCCAAACAAACAGCUAUUCCACCUGGUUUCCUUCAUGCAGAGUUGGGUUUGGGAUGGAGCGUGGCAGCUCUGGAUAGAGCUGGACCAGGAGAUCUGAGAGGUGUCUUUUCCAACCUUAAUGAUUCUAUGAUUCUGUUUCUAGUAUUCCAAGGCAAUGGUCCUUGACCCUCGAUUUGACGGCCAAAGCGUGUUUCAUUUUCUUCUCUUUCUAUUAUUCUCUAUUUGUUUUCUACAUUCUUCCUCCAUCUCCAAACACAACUCUGAUUUUUGUUUUAUUCUGAAUUCCCACCAUAUGUCACAUCCCCCCCAGGCCAGGCAGGCUGCAAGCUGUACUGGGGUUUCCAAGACAGCCUGUGCUGCUCGCAGCUCUCUGCAUUGCUGAUCCAAGUGUUACUGCAGCAAUAGCACCACACACACACACACACACACACACAUAGUGCCUUUUGGACAGAGCUUUGAGAAGAGCCAAAAGAUAAACCCCACCAAUUCCUGCCUGCGGCAUUGAGGGGUGGUGAGGAAAGCAAGAUUAGUCCUCUUCCUUUUUCAGCAGACUCCAGACACCGUCAGAUGAAGCUGCCUACAAAGGGAAACAAUGAGGAUUAUGUGGUUUUAACCAGGAUUUCUUUUGCAAGACUGAUGUGUGAAAGAGAGAGCUUGGCAUGAAGCAGCAUCUGCUGUGCCCUCAGUGUGUGAAACUCAAUGGAGAUUCAGUCUCAGGGCUGUGGGUUGUAGCAUAUACAGCUAGAACUUCUCAUCAUGGAAAUUAUUGCCUACACUGCUACGAGGAAAGCAGAACUUUAAUAUGGCAGCCUUUAAAUUCCAUGCUGUUGAUCAUAGAAUCAUUAAGGUUGGAAAAGACCCGUAAGAUCACCAAGUGCAACCAUCAACCCAUCACCUCCGUGCCCAUCGGUCCCCCUAAGGCUGUUACUGGGGAGGUGGAAAGGUGGUGGUUUGUUGGCCUUCCUGUGCAGCAACGGAGCAAAGCAAAAAACAUUUAUGCUCUGAAUGAUUCAGUAAUUUCAGCCUUCAGAUUUGUUUACACAGCCAAAUCUUUAACUAAUAGAUGUUUGUGAUUGCUGUAGGCUUCUUCACUGAGGCUGUAGGGCAUGUCUUGCCAUCCCCUCUGUCCACGGAGCAGCUGUUACCCUGAAAUGCAUACCAGUGUCUGUUUGUGUAAGUGCAAUUUUCCACGUGAUUGAUCUCAGAGUAUUUGUAUGAGUGUGCACAGAGCCCACUGCACAUGGAUUUCAUUUCAAACUCAGCAUCUGUCUGAAAGCAGAGGUUAAAGCGAGUGCAAGGCAAAGCGCUGCCCAUUCACAAAUAGGUCCGUCACAGUCUGAUGGCCCAAUGUAUCGGAAUAUUCCUUUGAAACAGGCAAACCACUCUCAAAAUGAUUCAUGGGAACUAAUUGAAGGCUCGGUCAGUACAGAGAGUCCUGCUGGCAUGGGGUAAUGAAUGGGGAUGCACUGAAGAGGAACCAGGAGGCAGUGGGAUGGGGAGGAGGAAAACUGCAGCAGGCGAUAAAAGCAUGAGAUCUAGACGAGGAAGAUGGGGGUUAGGCAAUACCUAACUGGGUUUAAAAUCUCACCUUUUUUUCUCCAUAAGACAUGAAGUCUCUAUUUCUCAUCUUUGGGGCUGGAGACGUGAGCCCUUGCAAAGGUAGGACUUUGAGAUCCAUCUGUUUGAUGGAGGCAGCACUGAGGAGAGGAAACCUGACACUGGGGAAAGGUUUUGUGUAUUUUAUCCCAGAAGAUUAAUGCUGUUUACGCUAAUCAGAUUUAUUUACUGCAAUGGGAAAAGUAUUUUUGUAAAUAAAAAGUGUUUAUUAUUGUUAAAGAGUUCUUCUGUUUGGCUCCCUGGCUGCUCCCUGGCUACGUUUCAAUUCCUGUCCGUUGCUGAGCUGCUGCCCUUCCUGUAGCCUGCAGAUCCCCUCGAGGCUUUUGCAGAAGUCUGUCCCUAAGGACAAGGAGCCACAAAGGACCCCUUCUGCUUUCCAGAAAGAUUUAGGGAGAAAAGAGCCCUUAAAGUUUGGUGUUGGUCCAACCGGAUUGAGUUCAUCAGGAACACGGCUGGGAUGCUGAAGUGCAGCAGGCUGGGAAUUGGGAGCCAGGUGACACGAGGCUUCCCUGACCCCGGACCCAUCAUUAAGGUUGGGAAAGACCUCCAAGCUCAUCCAGCC
rnacentral:lncRNA from 1 species